rnacentral:rRNA from 1 species
UUAGUUUUUUAAUUGGAAUCUUGUAUGAAUGGUUGGACAAAAGAAAUACUGUCUCUGUAAUUAUUAUUGAAUUUAACUUUUAAGUGAAAAGGCUUAAAUUAUUUAAAAAGACGAUAAGACCCUAUAAAGCUUUAUAAGUGAUAUCAUUUAAUUAAAUUAAGUUUAUAUAAAAAUUUAAUGAUUUGAUUAUUAUGUUGGGGAGACAGAAUUAUAAUUAAUAAUAACUGAAGUUUAAAUAUUACAAAUAUAUGUGAUUUAAAGUGAUAAAAGAUCCUAUAUAAAGAUUAAAAGUUUAAGUUACUUUAGGGAUAACAGCGUUAUUUUCUUUGAGAGUUCAUAUCGAAAAGAAAGAUUGCGACCUCGAUGUUGAAUUAAAAUUUCUAGGUAGUUGCAGAAGUUACUUUAGAGGGUCUGUUCGACCCUUAAAUUUUUACAUGAUUUGAGUUCAGACCGGCGUGAGCCAGGUUGGUUUCUAUC